rnacentral:misc_RNA from 1 species
GCAGAACCAGAUAAUUUCCAAUGCAGAGUCCUGCGCAAAGAAUGGCUGUAGUGCUAUUCUUGAUUCAGAUAUUAUUAAUGUUCCAACAGAAAAGACAGCCUGUAAUUUUGCUUUCAACUCCAUAUCCGAUGGCUCAGUAGAUCUUAUUGCAAUUGAGCAUCAGAAUUCAAAGCAUGACGAUGAAAUUUGUCAGACUUUGACCCGGCAGAACAAUAGUGAUAUAGAGAAUAAUUGUAUUGUGUUUCCUGGAUGCUUGGCCAGUUGUUCUGCAGAAAUGCAAUUGUCAGAAGCUGGAAACUACCACAAGGACGCGUCAAGUUCACCUAAUAAAAAUGGUGAAUUCUUGCGUCUGGAUGAUUCAAGGGACAAUGCAGUAAAUGAGCAAGCUGCAUUGGCCACAUCAAGUGAGAAUGACC